UACGUAGGGGGCAAGCGUUGUCCGGAUUUAUUGGGCGUAAAGAGCGUGUAGGCGGCCACACAGGUCCGCUGUGAAAACUCGAGGCUCAACCUCGAGCUGUCGGUGGAAACCGUGUGGCUAGAGUCCGGAAGAGGAGUGUGGAAUUCCCGGUGUAGCGGUGAAAUGCGCAGAUAUCGGGAAGAACACCCAUGGCGAAGGCAGCACUCUGGGACGGUACUGACGCUGAGACGCGAAAGCGUGGGGAGCGAACAGGA
rnacentral:rRNA from 1 species